GCACGUCUCUCUCCCUCCUUGCUAGAGGCACGUCUCUCUCCUCCCUGCUAGAGGCACGUCUCUCUCUCUCCCUGCUAGAGGCACCUCUCUCCCUCCUUGCUAGAGGCACGUCUCUCUCCCUCCUUGCUAGAGGCACGUCUCUCUCCCUCCCUGCUAGAGGCACCUCUCUCCAUCCCUCCCUGCUAGAGGCACGUCUCUCUCCCUCCUUGCUAGAGGCACGUCUCUCUCCCUCCCUGCUAGAGGCACGUCUCUCUCUCUCCCUGCUAGAGGCACCUCUCUCCCUCCCUCCCUGCUAGAGGCACGUCUCUC
ensembl:lncRNA